rnacentral:rRNA from 1 species
CCAAAGGAUACACCUAGCUAACGGCGAGUGAAGCGGGAAGAGCUCAAAUUUGAAAUCUGGUAGCCUUCGGUUGCCCGAGUUGUAAUCUAGAGAAGUGUUUUCCGUGCCGGCCCAUGUACAAGUCCCUUGGAACAGGGCGUCAUAGAGGGUGAGAAUCCCGUCCUUGACAUGGACCCCCGGUGCUUUGUGAUACACUUUCAACGAGUCGAGUUGUUUGGGAAUGCAGCUCAAAAUGGGUGGUGAAUUCCAUCUAAAGCUAAAUAUUGGCGAGAGACCGAUAGCGAACAAGUACCGUGAGGGAAAGAUGAAAAGCACUUUGGAAAGAGAGUUAAACAGUACGUGAAAUUGUUGAAAGGGAAACGAUUGAAGUCAGUCAUGCUCUUGGGACUUACCUCCCUUGAGUGGGGUCAACAUCAGUUUUGAUCGAUGGAUAAAGGCACGGGGAAGGUAGCACUCUCGGGUGAACUUAUAGCCUCGCGUCAUAUACAUUGAUUGGGACUGAGGAACGCAGCAUGCCUCAUGGCCGGGAUUCGUCCACGUACAUGCUUAGGAUGUUGACAUAAUGGCUUUAAACGCCCGCUUGAAAAAAAGGAAAAAAAAAAAUCCUGAGGUUUUUU